rnacentral:lncRNA from 1 species
AUGUGUCUUUGUGCUGCUGGUGGAUCCUUUCUCGCUGCUACCGUCUCUCGUUUCUAUCUCUUUGCCCAUCUAAUCUUUCCUUCACUCUCUUUCUUUUUUUCCCCUCUCAGGCACACACACACACACACACACACACACUCGAUUUCUUUUUGUCUCCCCAGGUGUGCACUGGUCCAGGUGUAUGUCUUCGCGGGAGCUCAUCACUGCUCUAAUGAGAAUGAUCACCGCUCAUCUGUCUUCAUCCACAUCCAACAGAGAGCACCUGCUACUAUCUGUACCCAAGGGCAGCGCAUGGUCUCGCCGGCUGAGCUAAUACCGAGAAAAAGGAGAGAAUUCCAGGAGGAAAAAGUGAGAGAGAGAAGUUACAGGGUGCAUUCUGCCUGGAUGGCAUGAGGUGAAAGUGGUAGAAAGUGGAGGGGUGGAAAGUGAGGAGAGAACAGGUAUAUUUGAUAAUUAGAACAGCAGUCACAGUUAUACUUCUGCGGAAAUUCUGAAUAAUUCUGCAUAAGGUUGCUUUGUCUGUGACCUUCUCAACUGGUGUGCUCUGACAAGACACGCUACACAAAAAAACAUAAUCUGAACUAUAUUGCAAAAGGUUAUGUUUACAGCUGCCACAAGAGCUGGAGCACUCCGCUCAGUCAAUUAUCGAGAAAUGAAAUGUACUUUAUAUAGAACAUUUCAAGUAGUUUUGUUGUUGAAUUACUAUCUUUCUUGCUAGCUACCAUUGGCUUUACACUCUGUACGCAUACCUCUUAGCUAAACUAGCCGUUUCCCCCGCUUCCAGUUACAUACUGACUGCUGGUGUUAGCUUCAUAUUUACAGUUAAGAGCAGUGUUUCUCAAACUUUUUACUCAGCCUCAGAAAAUAUUAUUCACAUAAAACGUACUGUUUUGGCCUGUGUGCUUUUAACGUUAAAAGGUGCUACGGAGGCUUCAGUGGUGCAGGUAAACUGACUACUCGCACUAGUUUGUGCGAGGGCUGCUUGAAAUAUCGACCUGGGAAUCUGACAAAUUGUUUAUCAUUUCACUGCUUCACGAUUGAUCCAGCAACCGAUAAAGACUCCUGAGGGACAUCAGGCCAUUUUUCAAGGUAAAACUGCAUAUUUGAUAACUUGUUAGCUUCUGUUAGACAACAGCUAACAUCAGCAUUCAACCACUUCCUAGCUAACAUCACCGUGUGAUGGUUUUACACAAUAUCAUAGAACAGGUAUAAAUCAGUUUUGAAAUAUAUACCACAUUUUAGGUAUGUUUCUUUAAGCCAGGAAGUGAAAUGCACUGGAUGUAUUAAAACAAUUAUGUUAGCUAGGGAGUUUUUGAAUGCUAAUGUUAGCCUACCAUUAACAUUAUCAUAACAUACAUCCUAGCAUACAAUGAGGCCCAUUACAGUGUGAGUUUAGCUCAUAACUAAUCAUGGAUGGUGUAUACAAUGUGACUGCGUAGCAGGC